GAGAGAGAGAGGGAGAGAGAGAAACAGGAGGGGAAAACCUGCUCUGCUGGAAGGAUGAUGUCAGUCUCUGCAGCUGAGCCUCGAUAUCUGGCUCGCUCAGAUGAGGACCCACCAACUCAUCCCCCUGUCUGAAUGGAAAGAGUGGAGAGAGAGAGUGAAAGAGAGUUUGCAUGCUUAUGUGAGUGUGAAAGAAAGAGCAAGGUGGAAGGUGAAAAGGAGGGAUGUGUGGAGCAAGAAAAACGCAAGCAGAGGAAGAAGAAUGACACAGGUGGAGUGUACUUGCACAGGAUCAGGACUCACUAGAUUGAUUGAUGUGCAUAUCUGUCAUCACUGUCUGCCACAGGUAGAACAAGCUAUUUUGAAAGCCAGGGAACUCUGGUGUGUCCCUGUAUAAGCUGC